GUGGGGCCGUGCCUUGAAAAAUAAUUGGUGCGAACGGGUGAGUAACACGUUGAGUACCUGCCCCCGACUCUGGGAUAAGCCCGGGAAACUGGGUCUAAUACCGGAUAUGACUUCCUACUGCAUGGUGGGUUGUUGAAAGAUUUAUCGGUGGGGGAUGGACUCGCGGCCUAUCAGCUUGUUGGUGAGGUAAUGGCUCACCAAGGCGACGACGGGUAGCCGGCCUGAGAGGGUGACCGGCCACACUGGGACUGAGACACGGCCCAGACUCCUACGGGAGGCAGCAGUGGGGAAUAUUGCACAAUGGGCGGGAAGCCUGAUGCAGCAACCCCGCGUGAGGGAGGACGGCCUUCGCUACAAUGGCCGGUACAAUGGGUUGCGAUACUGUGAGGUGGAGCUAAUCCCUAAAAGCCGGUCUCAGUUCGGAUUGGGGUCUGCAACUCGACCCCAUGAAGUCGGAGUCGCUAGUAAUCGCAGAUCAGCAACGCUGCGGUGAAUACGUUCCCGGGCCUUGUACACACCGCCCGUCCAGUCACGAAAGUUGGUAACACCCUAAUACGAUAGCCUUUUCCACCAGGGCGAACCCCC
rnacentral:rRNA from 1 species